rnacentral:rRNA from 1 species
UACAGAGGGGGCAAGCGUUGUCCGGACUUACUGGGUGUAAAGCGCAUGCAGGUGGCUGUGCAAGUAUGCUGUGAAAGCCCCGUGCUUAACACGGGGAGGCCAGUAUAGACUGCACGGCUCGAGGACUGCAGAGGGUAGGGGAAUUGCUGGUGUAGUGGUGAAAUGCGUAGAGAUCCGGAGGAACACCAGAGGCGAAGGCGGCCUACUGGGUCAGUACUGACGCUGAGACGCGAAAGCCAGGGGAGCGAACGGG